GAUGAACGCUGGCGGCGUGCCUAACACAUGCAAGUCGAGCGAACGGACGAAGCUUUUGCUUCUAUGAUGUUACGGGCGGACGGGUGAGUCACACGUGUCUACCCUACCUAUAAGACUGGGAUCACUUCACGAACGCGGAUAUAACACAGGAUAAUAUUUUGAAACGCGUGGUUCAUCAGUGCAAGCGGUUCUUGCUGUCACUAAUAGAUAGAAGCGAGCUGCAUUAGCUAGUUGGUACGGUAACGGCUUACCAAGGCGACGAUGCGUAGCCGACCUGAGAGGGUGAUCGGCCACACUGGAACUGAGACACGGUCCAGACUCCUACGGGAGGCAGCAGUAGGGAAUCUUGCGCAAUGGGCGAAAGCCUGACGGAGCCAUGCCGCGUGUGUGAUGAAGGUCUUCGGAUCGUAAAGCUCUGUAAGUUGGGAGGAAGAGAUGUGAAAGUAACUGUUGAUGUUUUGACGUUACCUACUCAGAAAGCACCGGCUAACUACGUG
rnacentral:rRNA from 1 species